CUCUUCCCUGGUGUUGCUCCCUGAGCUGCGCCCCUCAACUCUCCCUCUAAGCCCUUCUCUCCACCACCCCUCACAAACCACUACAGAACCAAUAUUGUGAUGCCUAGAUUUUGCCAAGAUGGAAUUCAGGGAUGGACCCAGCCUGGCUAAGGGAACCAUUUCACUGCCGGACUUAGGCUGGCGAUGCCCCUUCGCCAGCCAUAGUCACGGAAUGCCCUCUGUUCAAGCUACUUUCCCCAGUUUCUGUUGUGCCCUUCCACUUUCCAGUGUUGGGCAGGAUGGAGGAGUGAUGCCCACUUAGGGGCACUCCUGGGCCCACUUCGAGCCGGGCUCAUCCUCUCUCUCUCCUUGCCCCAUACACACAGCACAAGCUAAGGGCUUCCAUUCUGCCCAAGCUGUGUUCACUGCCAAUGCUGUGCUUGCCCUGCCCCCUCCCCCACUCGGGGGCGAGUCUUCCGGAGGGUCAAGGUCUCACGGGGUGGGGCCCGAUUGGGGGCCCCGGAGAGGGGGGGGGAGGAUGAAGACGCUCUGUUACCUCAUGUCCGUGCCCGCUGGGGAGGGGUCCCAGGAGAAGAAGAAGGGCGUUGCCUGGCGGGUACUUUUCUAUCUUUUAUUUCCAGAUUUUUUUUGUAUCUAAACUUGCAGAUUUGUAUUAUACAAGGACAGCCAAUAAAGGAAGACUAUAAUGGUG
rnacentral:lncRNA from 1 species